rnacentral:rRNA from 1 species
AGUGAACGCUGGCGGUAGGCCUAACACAUGCAAGUCGAACGGCAGCACAGUAAGAGCUUGCUCUUACGGGUGGCGAGUGGCGGACGGGUGAGGAAUACAUCGGAAUCUACUUUUUCGUGGGGGAUAACGUAGGGAAACUUACGCUAAUACCGCAUACGACCUACGGGUGAAAGCAGGGGAUCUUCGGACCUUGCGCGAUUGAAUGAGCCGAUGUCGGAUUAGCUAGUUGGCGGGGUAAAGGCCCACCAAGGCGACGAUCCGUAGCUGGUCUGAGAGGAUGAUCAGCCACAGUGGAACUGACACACGGUCCAGACUCCUACGGGCGGCAGCAGUGGGGAAUAUUGGAAACUGGGCGGAAGCCUGAUCCAGCCAUGCCGCGUGGGUGAAGAAGGCCUUCGGGUUGUAAAGCCCUUUUGUUGGGAAAGAAAAGCAGCAGGUUAAUACCACGCUGUUCUGACGGUACCCAAAGAAUAAGCACCGGCUAACUUCGU